rnacentral:lncRNA from 1 species
UCAUCCUUGGAACCCAAGUUGACUAGUUCAAUAUGUUCUUCAAACGGAUGAAUGGCUUUUUCCUCGUAUUCAAGCAAACAAGAUAAUUCAUCAGACACUUCUUCAUCAUCAAUCUCUUACUCAGCUUCAAACACAUGGAAAUCAAAUUUUGGAGAGGGAGUAGGAUCAUUAUAUUCAAUGGGUUUGAGAAUCAAUCUGCAUAAUAAUUUGAUAUUUUGAUUUGAGAGAAGUGGAGUGCAAACAAAAUAUUAUGCAGAUGGAAAGAUUAUUUUUUUAUUUAUGUUUUU